AAAGCAUGUCAAUUUUAAUUAAAACAUCAUGGAAAAUUUUAAUAUUUUUAAGCAUGCCAAAUUUGAGAUUUUUUUUACCUUGCGCUACUUUAUUCUCGGACCACGGCAAAUUAUAUUUUUUUCGACCCUGGAAUUAGAAUUUUUCAUUAAACUUUUUGAUCAAAGACAUACCCACUAACUGGUUUUUUAUGUGCUCACGUAGCAGGAUUUUUUUUGUUUCUAUUGUAAAAGAAGCGUCAUUUUUUGAUUUUUUAAAGACUAUUUUUUGUUUAUAAAGCUGGGCCUUUUUAGGCCCUUUUUUGGUUUUACGUACCCGUGCUGAGGGAAGAGGCUGAAAGGGUUCGGGCUGGCCUUCCACCACACCGAACGACACAAUCGUUCGUUCCAUCGCUCCUCCCUGCCGAACCUUUCCGUUCGGACCGGGGUUCUCCCAGACCGAACGGUCGGGAGUUAUCGACGUCCAUUACAAUUGAAUUACUAAUCUAACCGGACUACUCAACUGAAAACCUAUACGCGAGUCCGCUACUAACUCGUCCGUCGAGCUGAAGUCGGAUUCCGAGUCCAGCCGGCCUUUGCAUCAUACCCGCUCGAAAGUCUAUAUAUACAAGAACCAGCUAGCAUGCCUUGCUCCGCCAGCGUCCUUUACGAUCGAGUAGCUAGCUAGCCAUGGCAUGCCUUGCUCCGCCAGCGUCCUUCGCUCCCUUUUGCAGGGGCCCCUUUGCAUCUCCGGCCAACUUGUAUCGGCCGCCCGCCUCCAUCGCCUCCUUGUCUCCUUCGUCUCCCCCUUUCUACCCCAGCCGUGUCAUGGUUAGGUGGGAAGCUCCCCCGGCGGGCUGGCUGAAGCUAAACUUCGACGGGUCUGUGUACAACGACGGGUCCGGCCGGGCUAGCAUCGGCGGCGCCAUCCGCGACUGCAACGGCCGCGUUCUUGUCGCCUUUGCCGAGCCGACGGAGCACUCGACCGUGGGCAUAGUGGAGGCCAGGGCGCUCAUCCGCGGGCUGCGCCCCGCGCUGAGUCGCUUCCGCGGCAGGCUGGUGGCGGAAGGAGACGACCUGAUGCUGGUGGAGCUCCUCACCGGCGAGGAGACGCAGACGCGCGUACCUCAGGCCAUGCAAGACGAGAUUCUCAUGCUGCUUGGGUGCUUCGCGGCGUACAAGGUCCAGCACAUCUUCCGCGAGGGCAAUCAGGUCGCCCACGUCCUGUGCAAGGAGGCGUAUCAGCGUCCGGGGGUGUGGGCGGGCGGGAUCGUGNNNNNNNNNNGAGAGCUUGAUUAAACAGUCUAAGAUCACGAAAACCCAUACCGCCCUCUCCUUUUGGUCUGGUUAGUUUAUCCCAAGCGAGCCACUAUGUUUUCCUUCUAUUUUCUUCAUCCCCCCACCAGAAAUUCCUAAUAAGUUGCGCUAGCUCUUCACAAAUAGAUGCCAGAAAUUUAAAUAUACCCAUUGCAUACACAAGGAGAGCAUGAUUACUGAUUUAAUCUCAAUUUCCUUCGCCCGCUUGAUGCAUAUUUUUCACUCCAGUCUGAGAGUCUUUUUAGCGCUUUAUUUUUGGUAUACUGGAAUUUUCCAGCCUUCAUUCUUCCUUCAGGCACUGGUAGUCCAAGAUAUUUAUCGUCAAAACCCUCUUCAGUAAUUUUAAGGACUACCAUGAUUGACACUUGAUCUUCUAACCUGCAAUUCUUCCCAAACAGAAUCGAACACUUAUUUGGACUUAAUAACUGCCCAAUACCCUCCUCAUAGACCGUCAAAAUAUUUUUAAUGGUUAAUGCUUGAUCAAAGGAUCCCUUAAAAAUAGAAGGCUAUCAUCAGCAAAUAACAAAUGAGAUAUACAUGGGCCAUUUUUGCUUAAAUGGAAAUCCUUAAGAACUCCUUUAUCACAGGCGUCCUGAAGUACUAAUGAGAGGGCCUCCACCACAAACAGGAACAAGUACAUUGACAAUGGAUCCCCUUGCCUGAGCCCUCUGUACGGAACAAAGGAAUCCAAAAGUUGUCCGUUAAAACACACCGAGAAUUUUAUGGAGGUAACACAUGUCAUAAUCCUAUUUACCCACACAGGCGCAAAACCAUAAGGCCCUCGGCAUACUCUCCAAAAACUUCCAAUCCACUCGAUCAUAAGCUUUUGCAAGAUCUAACUUAUAAGCACAAUAAGCACCCCUAUUAUCCUUUAACGUGCUUAGGGAGUGCAUACAUUCGAAGGCUAUAAGUGCAUUAUCAGAAAUUAACCUGCCUGGGAUAAACACACUUUGAGUAGGAGAGAUCAUACCAUCCAGCAGUGGCCUUAGCCUAUUAACAAGCCAUUUGAAAAUAAUCUUGUAAAUGAUAUUACACAGACUGAUAGGCCGAAAAUCUUUUAUAGACUAAGGAUUCUUCACCUUCGGAAUAAGAACAAUAGUCGUAUCGUUAAUCCCAUCUGGCAUAAUUCCAGUGAUAAAAACUGUUGGAUCGCCCGAAAAUAUCCUCCUUUAUUAAACCCCAAUUCCUCUGAGAAAAUCUUGCUGGGAAACCAACUGGCCCCGGAGCUUUCAAAGGCCCAAUUGCCCCUUCAAGAUUACCUCGGAUGGAGAAGUGCUGAACAUGAAAGUUUUUCGUCUCAUCAAGAAGAGCAAAUUUGUUGUUAGCGUCAUAUCAACCAAGGUAGUAUGCAAUCUCCAAAAUCGGUGCAAGAGAGUUAUCUCAUACACUCUACAGCCUGGAGCAUCCGGACCUACACAUCCGAGUUAGGGUAGAUUUGAUGUUUUGGACGAGAUUUGAGUCCUUUUCCUCUACGGAAGUCUAACCACGUCAUAUAUAGAUGAUUGGCAAUUGAAAGGAGCUGGUUAUUUGUGUCUCCUGCGAUCACCAAAAGGAGUGUGCAGGGAGCGCGGUCGUGCAGCUAGCGCCGAGUGAGCGAUACAGAGAGGCAGGAGCCUUCUGGGCAGUCGACGACUGCUAGUUUGUGACCGACGACGGCGGCAAGCAGAGGCGGACAGGGCGAGGCCAUUGGGCAUAGGGGACGAGACUCACUGGAAGAGCUUUUUUAUAGCGAAGUCACUCGAAGAGCUGGCUCGAUGUGUCUAGCAUCGGGCGUUGCUGUUGUUGUUGUUGUUGGGUCAAAGACAUUGGGCAUUUUUCCUUUUCUUCGACGCAUCUUUAUUGUGCAUGGUACAUAUGCUGGUCCGAAAUUUUAGGGUGAACCGCGGUCCAUCCUGUCUACCUUGUAGCUCCGCAAUGGCCUAGGCCAUUUUGCAGCAAAAAAAUUAAGUACAGUAUAAAACAAAAAAAUUGGUCGAGCAAGUUCGAUUAGUACGCCUAAUGUGUAGGAUUAGCAAUGAAGGAAACCUGCGAGCAAGCUAGCUAUCCGAGUCGUAUGCAAGCUACGGCAUGCUAGCCAUGCACGUCACUUACUAAUCACCCGGCAACAUAGAUUACAACCGGGAUCGAUAACUCCCGAACGUCCGUAUUUUACGUUUNNNNNNNNNNGAGAGCUUGAUUAAACAGUCUAAGAUCACGAAAACCCAUACCGCCCUCUCCUUUUGGUCUGGUUAGUUUAUCCCAAGCGAGCCACUAUGUUUUCCUUCUAUUUUCUUCAUCCCCCCACCAGAAAUUCCUAAUAAGUUGCGCUAGCUCUUCACAAAUAGAUGCCAGAAAUUUAAAUAUACCCAUUGCAUACACAAGGAGAGCAUGAUUACUGAUUUAAUCUCAAUUUCCUUCGCCCGCUUGAUGCAUAUUUUUCACUCCAGUCUGAGAGUCUUUUUAGCGCUUUAUUUUUGGUAUACUGGAAUUUUCCAGCCUUCAUUCUUCCUUCAGGCACUGGUAGUCCAAGAUAUUUAUCGUCAAAACCCUCUUCAGUAAUUUUAAGGACUACCAUGAUUGACACUUGAUCUUCUAACCUGCAAUUCUUCCCAAACAGAAUCGAACACUUAUUUGGACUUAAUAACUGCCCAAUACCCUCCUCAUAGACCGUCAAAAUAUUUUUAAUGGUUAAUGCUUGAUCAAAGGAUCCCUUAAAAAUAGAAGGCUAUCAUCAGCAAAUAACAAAUGAGAUAUACAUGGGCCAUUUUUGCUUAAAUGGAAAUCCUUAAGAACUCCUUUAUCACAGGCGUCCUGAAGUACUAAUGAGAGGGCCUCCACCACAAACAGGAACAAGUACAUUGACAAUGGAUCCCCUUGCCUGAGCCCUCUGUACGGAACAAAGGAAUCCAAAAGUUGUCCGUUAAAACACACCGAGAAUUUUAUGGAGGUAACACAUGUCAUAAUCCUAUUUACCCACACAGGCGCAAAACCAUAAGGCCCUCGGCAUACUCUCCAAAAACUUCCAAUCCACUCGAUCAUAAGCUUUUGCAAGAUCUAACUUAUAAGCACAAUAAGCACCCCUAUUAUCCUUUAACGUGCUUAGGGAGUGCAUACAUUCGAAGGCUAUAAGUGCAUUAUCAGAAAUUAACCUGCCUGGGAUAAACACACUUUGAGUAGGAGAGAUCAUACCAUCCAGCAGUGGCCUUAGCCUAUUAACAAGCCAUUUGAAAAUAAUCUUGUAAAUGAUAUUACACAGACUGAUAGGCCGAAAAUCUUUUAUAGACUAAGGAUUCUUCACCUUCGGAAUAAGAACAAUAGUCGUAUCGUUAAUCCCAUCUGGCAUAAUUCCAGUGAUAAAAACUGUUGGAUCGCGCGAAAAUAUCCUCCUUUAUUAAACCCCAAUUCCUCUGAGAAAAUCUUGCUGGGAAACCAACUGGCCCCGGAGCUUUCAAAGGCCCAAUUGCCCCUUCAAGAUUACCUCGGAUGGAGAAGUGCUGAACAUGAAAGUUUUUCGUCUCAUCAAGAAGAGCAAAUUUGUUGUUAGCGUCAUAUCAACCAAGGUAGUAUGCAAUCUCCAAAAUCGGUGCAAGAGAGUUAUCUCAUACACUCUACAGCCUGGAGCAUCCGGACCUACACAUCCGAGUUAGGGUAGAUUUGAUGUUUUGGACGAGAUUUGAGUCCUUUUCCUCUACGGAAGUCUAACCACGUCAUAUAUAGAUGAUAGGCAAUUGAAAGGAGCUGGUUAUUUGUGUCUCCUGCGAUCACCAAAAGGAGUGUGCAGGGAGCGCGGUCGUGCAGCUAGCGCCGAGUGAGCGAUACAGAGAGGCAGGAGCCUUCUGGGCAGUCGACGACUGCUAGUUUGUGACCGACGACGGCGGCAAGCAGAGGCGGACAGGGCGAGGCCAUUGGGCAUAGGGGACGAGACUCACUGGAAGAGCUUUUUUAUAGCGAAGUCACUCGAAGAGCUGGCUCGAUGUGUCUAGCAUCGGGCGUUGCUGUUGUUGUUGUUGUUGGGUCAAAGACAUUGGGCAUUUUUCCUUUUCUUCGACGCAUCUUUAUUGUGCAUGGUACAUAUGCUGGUCCGAAAUUUUAGGGUGAACCGCGGUCCAUCCUGUCUACCUUGUAGCUCCGCAAUGGCCUAGGCCAUUUUGCAGCAAAAAAAUUAAGUACAGUAUAAAACAAAAAAAUUGGUCGAGCAAGUUCGAUUAGUACGCCUAAUGUGUAGGAUUAGCAAUGAAGGAAACCUGCGAGCAAGCUAGCUAUCCGAGUCGUAUGCAAGCUACGGCAUGCUAGCCAUGCACGUCACUUACUAAUCACCCGGCAACAUAGAUUACAACCGGGAUCGAUAACUCCCGAACGUCCGUAUUUUACGUUUNNNNNNNNNNAUUCGUUCGGGUAGGGGUGUCUGCAGGCCGAACAGACACGCCUUUAUCGGGGUCAUUUAAUAUGCAUUUUCACGAUGGCAUUUUUAUAUUUCAUAAGAUUUUCAUAUUUUAAGAACAUGGCAAUUUUUUAACUUUCUAGCAUGCCAAAAAAUUAGUUUAUUGCCAUGGCAAUUUCGAGCUUCAUUUUGGCAUGCAAUUUUUUUUUGUGAUGUCAACUUUUCUUUAUCACAACAUGGCAAAAAUUCCCUUUCAUUUUGCCUGACAAAUUUAUUUUAACAAACAUGGCAAAAAAUCCUUUCAUUGCCAUGCAAUUUUUUUACUCUUUUUUGCCAUGUCAAAUUUACAAUUUUUGGUCAUGGCAAAAUUCUCCUUUUAUUUUCCAUGCCAAAAUAAAGAAAAAUUAUGGAGCAUGGCAAAUUUAGCUUUCUACUUGCCAUGUCAACUUUUACUUUAUUUCGCCAUGGCAAUUUUUAACCUUCAUUGCCAUGGCAAUUUUACAGUUAAAUACUUGGCAAAUUUACUAUCUACAUACAUGGGAAAUUUUACUCUAUUUUUGUCAUGUCAUAAUUUUACUUUACUUUUUCAUGGCAAAAUUUUAACUUUAUUGCCAUGGCAAUUUUACUGGAACAUACAUGGCAAUUUUCACUGUACUUUGCCACGUCAAAAAAUUACUAUAUUUUUUGCCAUGGCAAUUUUACCUUAAAAUACUUGGCAAAUUUACAAUUUAAAUACAUGGCAAAUUUUACUCUAUUUUUGCCAUGUCAGAAUUUUACUUUAUUUUGCCAUGGAAUUUUUUUAACUUCAUUACUAUGGCAAAUUUACUUUUAAAUACAUGGAAAUUUCGCAUGGUCAAUUUUAAAUUAGUUUCAUGGCAAUUUCUCCAUGUUUUUAUUUUUUUGGCUGCGUGUAAUUAAAACACCACAACAAUUUUCAUGUAUAAGUUUUUCUUCUCAAAUUCCAUCCAAAGCAUGUCAAUUUUAAUUAAAACAUCAUGGAAAAUUUUAAUAUUUUUAAGCAUGCCAAAUUUGAGAUUUUUUUUACCUUGCGCUACUUUAUUCUCGGACCACGGCAAAUUAUAUUUUUUUCGACCCUGGAAUUAGAAUUUUUCAUUAAACUUUUUGAUCAAAGACAUACCCACUAACUGGUUUUUUAUGUGCUCACGUAGCAGGAUUUUUUUUGUUUCUAUUGUAAAAGAAGCGUCAUUUUUUGAUUUUU
rnacentral:lncRNA from 1 species